CAAAGCCGCAAAAGUCCUCCCAAAGGCCCAAAGUAACGUUAAUCGGCUGUGCACAGACAACAUAACGCAGCAAUGGAGGGGAAGAAGACGAAAAGCAAAGCAUCGCCUAUCUCUCUUGAACAAUUCGUCUCUCUUAUGUCCCCCUUAAUUGAUUUAGAAAAGGAAGCUGAGAUUUCAGCCUCAAUCGCUUCUGGUGCCUCCAGAAACCUUGAUACUUCCCAAAAGAAGGGCUCCGCUAUUCUGAAUCUGAAGUGUGUUGAUGCUCAGACAGGGCUCAUGGGAAAAACUCUUCUUGAGUUUCAAUCCACAAAAGCCGAAGUUCUUCCUCCUCACAAGUUUGGCACCCAUGAUGUAGUUGUGUUAAGACCAAACAAGGCUGAUUUAGGAUCUCCUGCCCUUGGACAAGGUGUAGUUUACCGGCUAAAGGACUCCUCAAUCACUGUAGCUUUUGAUGAUGUCCCAGAAGAUGGUUUAAAUAGUCCUCUACGUUUGGAGAAGGUGGCAAAUGAGGUAACAUAUCGUAGGAUGAAGGAUGCCUUAAUUCAAUUGAGUAAGGGUGUGCAAAAGGGGCCUGCAUCUGACCUAGUUCCUGUUUUAUUUGGAGAUAGGUCACCAGCAGUGUCAAAGAAGGAAGUUACCUUCAAUCCAUUUAAUUCCAACCUUGAUCACUCGCAGAAAGAUGCCAUUUCAAAGGCACUAUCAUCGAAAAACGUUUUCUUGCUGCAUGGACCUCCUGGAACUGGAAAGACCACAACUGUAGUGGAGAUAAUAUUACAAGAAGUGAAGCGUGGAUCAAAGAUUCUUGCAUGUGCUGCUUCAAAUAUUGCUGUUGACAACAUUGUUGAGCGUCUUGUUCCUCACAGAGUAAAGUUGGUGAGAUUGGGGCAUCCGGCACGUUUACUACCUCAAGUGUUGGAGAGUGCAUUGGAUGCACAGGUUCUGCGAGGAGAUAAUAGUGCUUUGGCAAACGACAUUCGGAAGGAAAUGAAGACAUUAAGUGGGAAGUUGUUGAAAGCCAAAGACAAAAACUCAAGGCGAGAAAUCCAGAAGGAACUUCGGACUCUUUCCAAAGAAGAGCGCAAAAGGCAGCAGUUGGCUGUGACAGAUGUGAUUAAAAAUGCAGAUGUGGUGUUGACAACUUUGACCGGUGCAUUUUCUCGCAAGCUUGAUAACACUUCAUUUGACUUGGUAAUUAUUGAUGAAGCGGCUCAGGCACUUGAGAUAGCAUGCUGGAUAGCUCUACUGAAGGGUUCAAGAUGUAUACUUGCAGGAGACCAUCUUCAGCUUCCCCCAACCAUCCAAAGUGUAGAAGCUGAGAAGAAAGGGUUAGGAAGAACUCUCUUCGAACGCCUCGCAGACCUAUAUGGAGAUGAAAUUAUGUCUAUGCUCACUGUUCAGUAUCGCAUGCAUGAACUUAUUAUGAACUGGUCAUCUAAAGAGCUUUACAAUAGUAAGAUCAAAGCCCAUCCUUGUGUUGCUGCACAUAUGCUUUAUGAUCUUGAAGAUGUGAAAAGGUCAUCAUCAACAGAACCAACCCUUCUUCUCAUAGACAUAGCUGGGUGUGACAUGGAAGAAAAAAAGGACGAAGAAGAUAGCACACUGAAUGAAGGCGAAGCUGAGGUUGCCAUGGCCCAUGCUAAGAGACUUGUACAAAGUGGAGUCCAGGCUUCUGAUAUUGGAAUUAUUACCCCUUAUGCUGCACAGGUUGUCUUACUGAAGAUGUUGAAAAGCAAUGAUGAUAAACUAAAAGAUAUGGAAAUCUCAACCGUUGAUGGUUUCCAAGGUAGGGAGAAGGAGGCCAUUAUUAUUUCCAUGGUCCGAUCAAAUUCAAAGAAAGAGGUAGGGUUUUUGAGUGAUCGCAGAAGAAUGAAUGUGGCUGUGACACGAGCAAGAAGACAGUGUUGUCUUGUCUGUGACACCGAUACAGUGACUAGUGAUGGGUUCUUGAAUCGAUUAGUUGAGUAUUUUGAGGAGAAUGGGGAAUAUCUUAGUGGCUCAGAGUAUCUCAAUGUAUAAUUUGCAUAGCAUGGAAGAAGGCUUCUUGUUUCUCUGAGAGCUUUUGCACUCUGUAGACUAUAGAAUUUCCUGCAUACAAGGUACCUUUGCUCACAGAAUGAAGUCUGAAAGUUGUGGGAAAUAGGAUGACAACCAUAACAACCAUCAUUGUUCUAAGAAUUGAAUAAAGCAUCCUGGGAAAUUCUUUAUUAGAAAAGUUCUGAAUUUUUAUCACUAAUGCAUGUGGUAGAUCAUGCUUAUAUUUGCAAGUCACUAAUGCCUCCAUUUUUUUUUCCUCCAUAGAAUCAUUGUCUUCGUAUUUUGAGUAGACAUCAGACUUCGAGUUUAGAGUGUGGUCUUGACUAAAAAGUUAAAAGGUACAAUCCUUUCUAUUUAUUCACUUUACUACU